rnacentral:rRNA from 1 species
UACGUAGGGUGCAAGCGUUGUCCGGAAUUAUUGGGCGUAAAGAGCUCGUAGGCGGUUUGUCGCGUCUGCUGUGAAAACCCGGGGCUCAACCCCGGGCCUGCAGCCGAUACGGGCAGACUAGAGUUCGGCAGGGGAGACUGGAAUUCCUGGUGUAGCGGUGAAAUGCGCAGAUAUCAGGAGGAACACCGGUGGCGAAGGCGGGUCUCUGGGCCGAUACUGACGCUGAGGAGCGAAAGCGUGGGGAGCAAACAGG